UGGGGAAUUUUGGACAAUGGGGGCAACCCUGAUCCAGCCAUGCCGCGUGCGGGAAGAAGGCCUUCGGGUUGUAAACCGCUUUUGGUCGGAAAGAAAAGCCCCAAGCUAAUACCUUGGGGUCUUGACGGUACCGGCAGAAUAAGCACCGGCUAACUACGUGCCAGCAGCCGCGGUAAUACGUAGGGUGCGAGCGUUAAUCGGAAUUACUGGGCGUAAAGCGUGCGCAGGUGGUUUGUUAAGUCUGCUGUGAAAGCCCCGGGCUCAACCUGGGAAUGGCAGUAGAAACUGGCGAGCUAGAGUGUGGCAGAGGGGGGUGGAAUUCCACGUGUAGCAGUGAAAUGCGUAGAGAUGUGGAGGAACACCAAUGGCGAAGGCAGCCCCCUGGGUUAACACUGACACUCAGGCACGAAAGCGUGGGGAGCAAACAG
rnacentral:rRNA from 1 species